rnacentral:rRNA from 1 species
GAUCCUGGCUCAGGAUGAACGCUAGCUACAGGCUUAACACAUGCAAGUCGAGGGGGCAGCAUGGUCUUAGCUUGCUAAGGCCGAUGGCGACCGGCGCACGGGUGAGUAACGCGUAUCCAACCUGCCUUACACUCUUGGACAGCCUUCUGAAAGGGAGAUUAAUACAAGAUGUUAUCAUGAGUAAGCAUUUUCGCAUGAUUAAAGGUUACCGGUGUAAGAUGGGGAGUGCGUUCC